ensembl:lncRNA
CGUUUUUUUGCAGAUUGUUCUUGGAGAGCUUCAGUGCUCAGUACUUAGUAUAAUAAAUAAGAUGGGCCCUUAGGGCAUAAUAAUUAACCUAACAAAUGUUUAAGAAAGAUUUUUAACAAGUAAGAGCAGGUCUUGUCACUUCAAUGGUGUAAGAGAUUAUUCUUUUGCACUAUUGUCUCAAAGUUUGCUGAGGAACACUGAUGGACACAUCCUGGGCAAGGGCUGAGAAAUCUUUUGUCUGAAGGACACAGACGGUAAAGUCCGGACAAGUCCUUGUCAAAGUUGGCGAAAUCUUUUGUCUGAAGAUUUUACAAGCCAGGGGCAACGAGAGAGAGAUAAAUCGCAGCUUAAUGGCCGGGAAGCAGUCUUUUGUGUGGGUUUAUCUCGAGGGAUAUAGCCAUCUCGGGGGGGUACUGCACAUGGCUCUUACCCAAGCUUCUGCCACACUGGCAGAAGAAGAAGGAUAAAAAGGGGGCCAACAACCAAGAGAUUAGGUGUCAGACAUCAGAAGCCUUACGAGCUGAUGCCUGAAAGCUGAAGGACUCUCUUCUGGACCUGCUACCUGAGAUCUGCUGCUUCCUCCUGGACUUACCCAGCUGCUUGUUCCUGGCACCUGCUUGCAGCUUAAAGCCUGUCACGCUGCUGCUGCUCUCCCCCUGCGCUUUUGCCUCGGACAAUCGGAACAACAUACAACGGGACGCUGCUGGAUCUUGGUGUUUUCAUGGAAUCAAAGCCUUCGAACUUCUUCCCCACAUGUCCCAGAAGAGGGAAGCGUGGUGCGAGGGGAAGCCCUGUCACUGUUGAUAUAAUCAAGUAAACAGCAACAAUGUGAUAAUACAAGAGAAAUGCAGAGGACUGGUAUUUUGUUUAGUGUCAGUGUGAGGACAAUGUUGGUAAUCUCUUUCAAAUUCUUUUCAAUAAAAACAAUCAACUAUUUGCAGGAAUAUUUGCCCUCUUGAUUUAGUGCAUGGUUCCCAGCUUAGAAUGCAGUUACAAAAUAUCUCUUUAAAAAAUAAUUCUUUAACAUCUGUAUUUUUAUAUGUAGUUGUUCUGAGUUUUAAAAUAUGUUCUGAUAAAGGAUCAUCCAGAUAUCUCUAAUAUCUGGUGACAAAAUUUUGUGCCAUAGCAUCAGUCAAAAUGAGACUCAGUCAAAACGUGACUCAGACAAAAUGUUUUGGUGUUGUAUCUACCAUAACACUGAUGAUAGAUGAGAAUUUUCUGUAUUUUGUCAUAUGGGCACAUAAAUCAUAAAAUAUGUCUUUAUACAUAUCAUGUUAUUUAGUGCACAUUUUCACCAACUACACCACAUGAUGCAAAGACGUUGAUACCAUACAUUUUCUGCAUUCUGUAGGCAUGGAGGAGUAUAAGAAGUUUGAUAGACAGCUAAGGAACAGGAGUCUCCUACAUCAGGAAGGAUACACACCUUGUAUACCAUCAUUUUUAGCACAUAUAUCUUCCUUAUAAGACAUGCACUCUAAAAAUUUGAAAUUUUGGCUUUGAUUCAGCAGUCAUUUGCUACUGACAGGGAUCUUGAACAAUACACCAGUCAACAAGUAGCAAUUCAAGUGCCCAGAAAUCUUAGACUGUGGGUAAUUUUACCAAUAAGUAAGCGAUGAUUUUAAAAAGCUAGAAGGAGACUUGGUAAUUCCCAAUACAUGUGAUGAUCUGAGCCUUAUGACUAGUCUUAUGUUAGCUUACAGUGAAGGAGAGAUUUCCCAGAGGUUUAUUGUUGUGGUUUAACCCAGCAGGUGGCUGAGCUUCAUGCAGUUGCUUGCUCACUCACUCCCCCUUUCCAAGUGGAAUGGGGGAGAGAAUCAGGAAAAAAAAAAAAAAAAAAAAAAGUAGAACUUAGUACAAAAAAAAGUAGAAUAAUGUACAGUACAGCUAAUUUUCAGAUGUCUGCUAACAUUUAAUUUAAAGCUUCACCAUUACUUUGUUUUUAUACAUCUUGUGUAAUCAUUUGACAAUUUUUUGAAAUGGUAGAUUAAUAUUAGUACGAAUGAGCUAGCAAGCUGUCCAAGGGUAAGUAGAAAGCAGAGGAAUGAGAAAGCCUGCUUAUGAAUAGUAAGCAAAAUAAAAACAAGUCAUGGUAAAGGAUUUAUUUAUUUUUUUUCUUUAAUAUUGCAUUGUAUAUAUUAACUGUGAAGCAAAUGACUGGAAAACAACAGUGAGCUAUUCAUGGUAUCAUGCUAAACUACGGUAAAAAAUAAGCAUGUUUCCUAUUUAAAUGUUGAAGGUUUGAACAUUAUCUUUUAUUCUUCUCUGCGGUGGCAUGCAGAUCAAAAGAUGACAGUCACGUAGUAAAAUGCAUAUUUAUUAAUUUACAUUGUAGUAAUUUAAGCAAUUGUCGAAUAAUUUAGAUGUCUUGCAUAUAUUUACCUUCAUAACUGGGUUCUGAAAAUAAGAAGGCUAUAUUUGAACAGACUAUCAUGAAUGUGAAAAUAUAUUCCCAAAAAUAAGCAAAUUCAAGAAGAUUAUAUUGGUUUUGGUUUGCUUUGUUGUUUUAUUAUUUUAUCUUACUUUUUAAUUCAUCCUACCCGCAUAAGUGCCUAAGGAGAAUAUGCAGAGUCAUGUGCACUCCCUAACAGAUGCCUCCUAUUUUAAACACCACUGCCUAAUUAGAUGAGAACUGCACAAGGCAAAAUAGCAGAACCUGCAAGCAGAAUGAGGAACAUGUGGGAUUUACAUUUUUCAUUAGUCCAAAUCUGCACAUCCACUAACUCAAACAUUUUUGACCACAAGAUUAAAAAUCAGAAAAAUAUGAAAGAGUUAAGAGUUAGCAAAGGUAUCAGAGAUGAAUAUGAGGGCCUCAUCAGAGGCUGCCCAUUCCUAUUUCUGUUCUUUCUGCAGGUUGCUCUAAAUGCAUCUUGCUUGGUUCCCGACAGUGUUGUUCUCACUGAUGGAGAGUGAAGCCAGAAAGAAUAACCCUAAGGACAGGUAAAAGAAUCAUGGUCUUUCCUAGCACUACAGUCUAAUUUGUGGUAUUCUAAUAUAAGUCUAAUCUUGCAGUGAAUCCUUUAUUGCAAGACAGUUGUGUAAAACUGGGAUAUCUGCAAGUUCAAGCUGAUAGACAUUUAAUUUGCUAAAAUCACAUAAGUAAAGCUGGAAUAUAGAUCACAUAGUUUGUUUACAUGGUACUUUGUAUAGGAGGACAAAAAUAGAAGAGGGUGAAUUCAAGUGAAUACAUUAAAUUAAACCAAUUAUUUUUUAACUAAUAAUUUUUAAGUUAUUUUUAGCACAUAUGAUAGACAGUGGGGACUAAUGAAUUACAAUACACUCACCACACAUUGUAGGACACCUGUUAAAUCUUUGUUAGCUCAUCAAGCACUCAUCUAUUAGUUGGCUGCUGUUACUUUUUGAAUCAUAGAAUCAUAGAAUCACCAAGGUUGGAAAAUACCCACAGGAUCACCCAGUCCAACCAUCCACCCAUCACCAAUAGUUCUCAUUAAACCAUGUCCCUCAACACAACAUCCAAACGUUUCUUGAACACCUCCAGGGUCAGUAACUCCACCACUUCCCUGGGCAGCCCAUUUCAGUGCCUGAACUGUGCUGCUUCUUUUUCUUUUGCUGAGUUGCUAUCUUUCAGUUCCUUGUUUGUUGGUUGGUUGGUUUUCCAUAGGAUUUUAUACCUUUUCAUGGCAGUCUUUUCCCUGCUAAAUUCUUGAAGUACUGCUUACCCAGACUCAGCAGUCUUGCCUCUGAAAUAUUACAUUUCUUACCUUGACUGGAUGUGGUUUAUGUAUUUCCUCAUGGCUCCAUGUCACAUCUAAACAGUUUUUUUUUCCAAAGUCUAAGCCAAGGUUGCAGAGCUACGCUGUAUCAAAAUAAAGUCUUGUGCCACAGACUGCUGAAUUCCUGGGAGUAACAUUAUGCACUGGUUACACCUGUACUGGCUUAUUUAACUGGGUCAGGGACCACCCAAAGGCACUGGAAGGCAGCCAGCUGUGAUAUUGAAUUGGUAGCAUACUGCUUAGCAUACUUUGGUCAGCACCAACUAGUAUGUCCCUGAUGCUUUUAAGGGUUAACAUUGCACAGGAAUGGUUAACACUAGGUAGUUUUGAUGUAGCUUCCCAGUAGUGUUUUGAGAGAGUUAAAUAAUUUGGACUCUUAUACCAGAGAGUAAAUACAGGCAUGCUAACUUUGUUAGCACCAAUGUAGUCUUGCAAUCCACCAAUCUGGCCUUCAGCAGCAAUGCAAAAGAAGAGAGGGGCAUGCCACUCCAAAUCAGAAUGGAUAUAUUAUUCUUGAUGCCAACUAUAAUGAAAUAUUAAAGCAAGACAUUUUGGAAAGGUUGGGGCAAUGAGGAUAGUUGGGUUUCCAAAGGCAUCAGUUUCACUACAACUGCAGAACAAAACCCACAAAGCUAUGACAAAAAUAAGUUUGCAAAAUGAGGACAAAUUCAUGUAAAACUAGAUAUAACUUUUUUUCUGAAAUGAAUAUGUAUAAAUACACAUGCAUGCACACAUGAAAAUGAGUAUGUUCCAGUGAGGUUGUUAACACAAUUCCUCUCAAAAUAACUUCAAAGAAUUAACAUAAUGAAUGUGUAAAUUAAAGCAGAAACAUGUUACAUUUUCAGUACCUCACAAGCUGAAAGCAGCUUGUCUGAUUUGCUUUGAACUUUCAAAUAUUCAUCUUUUGUAGUUUCAAACUAAGCAAAAGAAUUUGAAGGCCAGAAAGAACAGGUUGUUCUUUAAACAGUGACAGAGUUACUGAAAAGUAGGCUAAAAAGUGCAAUACUGGUUGCGUCAUCAACUAGCCCCACUCUUUCAAGUUCUGCAGACUCAUAGCACUGUCUGAAGAAGCAUGUGACAUUUAAGUUCUUACUUAGGUUUGCUUAGCAUUGAUAGUCCAAUAUGUCCAAAUGAAUUUGGACUAUUCCUCUCAAACUGUGAUGCAUUUUGCCUCCUUAAUGUAUUCUACAUGGUUUAUUCUACAUUAAUUGAACUUCAUUUUCCUUUCCUUUUAAAAGUUUUACCCUGAUAUUGAGGAAAAAACACAGACAGGAUAAAAUCAUAAAACCAUAGAAUAGUUUAGGUUGGAAAAGACCAAGAACAUCAAGUCCAACCAUCCAAGUAACAUUACAAGUUGAACAGUGUC